GGACUUUUAUUUUGAAGUUCGGUGGUGGGGGCGGCCAUUUUAGAGGGGCAUUUUAGUCUCGCGGUAGUUUGCCAAGGAUCGUUUGGUCUCGUUGGGUCACCGGUGGGCCGCAGGCACGGUGUGUAGUACCGGUAACUGGUUUAAUGCGGAUAAUUAUAUCCUUGUUUUAUAACUCGAGUGAGUUUUUUUAGAAAAUAGACUGUUGCGAUUCUGGAUCCGAGGUGUGAAACCUCCUGAGGGGAGUGAGGAGCUUCUGGAGUGGAGGGAGACUGCGUGAGCUUGUGUAUGAGCUAACCAUAUGAGGGUAUGUUGUGCUUUCUGCCUUAUAAAAGUUUAGCAGGUUUUAACUGUUUAGACUUAUAUAUAUAUAUAUACACGGUGUUUAGAUUGCAGGAGGGUGAUUGCGAGGCUGCCUAGGAGAGCUUAGCGUGGGCAUUUAUUAUCAGUGAGAGCUUCACCUGGAGGGUGGGCAGGAGCUGAAGGAAUACUCUUAAUUGGGCAAAUACUGCUGUUGCACAGGUAAAUAUUGAAGUUAAAAUAAGCUAAUACUGAUUUUUAAGAAAAACUCAAAGGAAUAAUUGGGUACUUGUGUCUAUGUGUGCCUUACAGGAUGGCGCAUGCCUGUGAUAGUAGCCACUGUUCUACAUACUGUUUUUAGAAUGUUUUAUUAUAUAGUUUAAUUCUAGUGUUAUACUCCCUGCUGUAGUCUCAACCUUGUGGGAGACCCAGUCCUAGUCCUAACUAGAAUUUGGUUGAUAUAACCCAAAAUACCGAUUUAACCUACUGCUGAUAUUAGUGGGGUGCCUGAAUCAACCCAAGUUACUAAUUCAAUAAUGGUUAGGUUUCCUUUUUUUUUUUUAUGGAGUAUAACCUCAGUAAGCUCUGAGUAAUUGGGAUUCACCUCAGUAUUGUAUUUGGUUUUCAAUUCUGGAUGUAUGGGUUUAAUGAGUGUGUAUAUUUAUUUUUCUAAGUUUGGGAUUUGCUUUGUGUAGGUUGUGAUUUUUUUUUCUUUUUUUUUUGUUAUUUUCAUCGCAGUAUAUUUAUAUGCAUGUGAGUGUAGUGUGAGGUGAUACAGCCGUACUGAGUGUGAGCCCUUGGUUGCUCGAGAUUAAAGUGGGUACAUUCCUCUUUCUUGGGGAACCACCAUUUGAUACUUGAAUAAUUUUAUUGUCUUGGAACAUUUUUUAGCUACCCUAAUAAAAUUAUCUACGUUUUAUUUUAUAAUCUAAAUACUGAAUGAGUAAAAUUGUGUUUAUAGAAUUGUGUAUGGUUGUUUACCCCGUUGUGGGUUGAGAGUGUACUCUGACAUUUAAAAACAAGAAAAUAAAGAUUCCUUGUUUGCAUCAGA